GACGAACGCUGGCGGCGUGCCUAAUACAUGCAAGUAGAACGCUGGAGGAGGAGCUUGCUUCUCUGGAUGAGUUGCGAACGGGUGAGUAACGCGUAGGUAACCUGCCUGGUAGCGGGGGAUAACUAUUGGAAACGAUAGCUAAUACCGCAUAAUAGUAGAUGUUGCAUGACAUUUGCUUAAAAGGUGCAAUUGCAUCACUACCAGAUGGACCUGCGUUGUAUUAGCUAGUUGGUGAGGUAACGGCUCACCAAGGCGACGAUACAUAGCCGACCUGAGAGGGUGAUCGGCCACACUGGGACUGAGACACGGCCCAGACUCCUACGGGAGGCAGCAGUAGGGAAUCUUCGGCAAUGGACGGAAGUCUGACCGAGCAACGCCGCGUGAGUGAAGAAGGGUUUCGGAUCGUAAAGCUCUGUUGUAAGAGAAGAACGAGUGUGAGAGUGGAAAGUUCACACUGUGACGGUAUCUUACCAGAAAGGGACGGCUAACUACGUG
rnacentral:rRNA from 1 species